ncrna:Ornithorhynchus anatinus (platypus) microRNA oan-mir-16b precursor
ACUUAUUACGCUCUAGCAGCACGUAAAUAUUGGUGUAGUGAAGUCUUAAACCCCAAUAUUAUUGUGCUGCUUUAGCGUGAUAGGG